UGGGGAAUAUUGGACAAUGGGCGAAAGCCUGAUCCAGCAAUGCCGCGUGAGUGAUGAAGGCCUUAGGGUUGUAAAGCUCUUUUACCCGGGAUGAUAAUGACAGUACCGGGAGAAUAAGCCCCGGCUAACUCCGUGCCAGCAGCCGCGGUAAU
rnacentral:rRNA from 1 species